UACGUAGGGACCAAGCGUUGUCCGGAAUUAUUGGGCGUAAAGAGCUCGUAGGCGGUCUGUCGCGUUGGCUGUGAAAACCCGGAGCUCAACUCCGGGCCUGCAGUCGAUACGGGCAGACUGGAGUUCGGCAGGGGAGACUGGAAUUCCUGGUGUAGCGGUGGAAUGCGCAGAUAUCAGGAGGAACACCAAUAGCGAAGGCAGCUCGCUGGGACGGUAUUGACGCUAAGGCGCGAAAGCG
rnacentral:rRNA from 1 species